AUCCGGCUAACGAAUCCCCAACGGGACGAAACGCGCGUCCUGGAU
rfam:Schistosoma mattheei strain Denwood, Zambia genome assembly, scaffold: SMTD_scaffold0003284